CCUACGGGAGGCAGCAGUAGGGAAUUUUCGGCAAUGGGGGGAACCCUGACCGAGCAACGCCGCGUGAAUGAUGAAGGUCUUCGGAUUGUAAAGUUCUUUUCUAAGGGACGAAGCAAGUGACGGUACCUUAGGAAUAAGCCUCGGCUAACUACGUGCCAGCAGCCGCGGUAAUACGUAGGAGGCAAGCGUUAUCCGGAAUGACUGGGCGUAAAGGGUGCGUAGGUGGUUUGACAAGUUGGUAGCGUAACUCCGGAGCUCAACUUCGGAACUGCUACUAAAACUGUUGGACUCGAGUGCAGGGGGGGCAGCUGGAAUUUCGAGUGUAGCGGUGGAAUGCGUAGAUAUUAGGAAGAACACCGGUGGCGAAGGCGAGUUGCUGGACUGUAACUGACGCUGAGGCACGAAAGCGUGGGGAGCAAACAGGAUUAGAUACCCGAGUAGUC
rnacentral:rRNA from 1 species